rnacentral:rRNA from 1 species
GACGAACGCUGGCGGCGUGCCUAAUACAUGCAAGUAGAACGCUGAAGAGAGGAGCUUGCUCUUCUUGGAUGAGUUGCGAACGGGUGAGUAACGCGUAGGUAACCUGCCUUGUAGCGGGGGAUAACUAUUGGAAACGAUAGCUAAUACCGCAUAACAAUGGAUGACACAUGUCAUUUAUUUGAAAGGGGCAAUUGCUCCACUACAAGAUGGACCUGCGUUGUAUUAGCUAGUAGGUGAGGUAAUGGCUCACCUAGGCGACGAUACAUAGCCGACCUGAGAGGGUGAUCGGCCACACUGGGACUGAGACACGGCCCAGACUCCUACGGGAGGCAGCAGUAGGGAAUCUUCGGCGAUGGGGGCAACCCUGACCGAGCAACGCCGCGUGAGUGAAGAAGGUUUUCGGAUCGUAAAGCUCUGUUGUAAGUCAAGAACGGGUGUGAGAGUGGAAAGUUCACACUGUGACGGUAGCUUACCAGAAAGGGACGGCUAACUACGUG